UUGUCAUUUCUAUCGGGAGAUCGGCCUCCUCCCGAGUAAAAACGGACAGGGAAUCGCAGUUUGCCCCGGCCGCCGGGAGUGCCCGUAGUGCCCCGCUACAGUGCCCCGACACUUACCUGUGCACUGGGGUUCGUUGGCAGAGGUAGGGGUCCGUUGGCAGAGGUGUGUGGGCGCAGGGGUCCGUUGGCGGAGGUGGGGGUCCGUUGCCAGAGGUGAGGGUCCGUUGCCAGAGGUGGGGGUCCGUUGCCAGAGGUGCCUGGGCCUAGGCUGUUCCCCGCACCCACAGUCGUCCCUGCGGGCCCCCGCCGGCUCACAGGCACCGGGAGCGCACGAGGGACACCCUGGGCCAGGGGGCCGCCCACCGAGGGCCCGGGGGCCGCCCACCGAAACGCGACCGUCACUGGUAUUUCGGCAAAUUUACCCAGAAAUCGCCCUCCGGCCGGGAUAUAGAGGCCUCGCCGGGAGCGAGCGCCGCAGUUGACAAAAUUGUCAUUUCUAUCGGGAGAUCGGCCUCCUCCCGAGUAAAAACGGACAGGGAAUCGCAGUUUGCCCCGGCCGCCGGGAGUGCCCGUAGUGCCCCGCUACAGUGCCCCGACACUUACCUGUGCACUGGGGUUCGUUGGCAGAGGUAGGGGUCCGUUGGCAGAGGUAGGGGUCCGUUGGCAGAGGUAGGGGUCCGUUGGCAGAGGUGUGUGGGCGCAGGGGUCCGUUGGCGGAGGUGGGGGUCCGUUGCCAGAGGUGGGGGUCCGUUGCCAGAGGGUGGGG